GGAGGAAAGCAGGGGAUCGCAAGACCUUGCGCUUUUAGAGCGGCCGAUGUCUGAUUAGCUAGUUGGUGAGGUAAAGGCUUACCAAGGCAUCGAUCAGUAGCUGGUCUGAGAGGACGACCAGCCACACUGGGACUGAGACACGGCCCAGACUCCUACGGGAGGCAGCAGUGGGGAAUUUUGGACAAUGGGGGAAACCCUGAUCCAGCCAUGCCGCGUGAGUGAAGAAGGCCUUCGGGUUGUAAAGCUCUUUCAGCCGGAACGAAACGGUCACGGCUAAUACCUGUGACUACUGACGGUACCGGAAGAAGAAGCACCGGCUAACUACGUGCCAGCAGCCGCGGUAAUACGUAGGGUGCGAGCGUUAAUCGGAAUUACUGGGCGUAAAGCGUGCGCAGGCGGUUUUGUAAGUCAGAUGUGAAAUCCCCGGGCUUAACCUGGGAACUGCGUUUGAAACUACAAAGCUAG
rnacentral:rRNA from 1 species